AACGAACGCUGGCGGCAUGCCUAACACAUGCAAGUCGAACGAGACCUUCGGGUCUAGUGGCGCACGGGUGCGUAACGCGUGGGAACCUGCCCUUAGGUUCGGAAUAACUCCCCGAAAGGGGUGCUAAUACCGGAUAAUGUCUUCGGACCAAAGAUUUAUCGCCUUUGGAUGGGCCCGCGUUGGAUUAGCUAGUUGGUAGGGUAAAAGCCUACCAAGGCGACGAUCCAUAGCUGGUCUGAGAGGAUGAUCAGCCACACUGGGACUGAGACACGGCCCAGAGUCCUAGGGGAGGCAGCAGUAGGGAAUCUUGCGCGAUGGGCGAAAGCGUGAUGGAGCAACGCGGCGUGAGUGAUGAAGGUCUUCGGAUCGUAAAACUAUGUUAUUAGGGAAGAAAAAAUGUGUAAGUAACGAUGCAGGUCUUGACGGUACCGAAUAAGAGAGCCACGGCUAACUACGUG
rnacentral:rRNA from 1 species